UUGUUAUAAUUAUUUUCUCUAUUUGGAGACAUAUUCAUGUCAGCCGCACCUGACUAAUAUAUGUCAUUUAUGUAUGCCGUCCAAUUGAACAACUAAAACAGUUUUUUCUUUGAUAUGUUUUCAGACAGGUUAUCCACAAAAAUAGACAAAGACUGAUGCUCCAAAUGUUAAUACUCUUCUCAGUUCUAGAUUUUUGGAUCUUUAUCAUGUUCUCUAACUCUACUCCUGCCUGUAUUUCCCAUCCACGCGCUCUCUCUCUCAUCUUGUUUGAGUGACUUUUUAUCUUGAUACCAUUGGACUAUUUCUAUGAAUUAAAAUCCUUUCUUCUAUUAAAAAAAAUUGAAAAGCUGCAUGGGAGUGGGAGAGGGUGUGAUGAAUGAGGCAAAGUGAGGAGUGAGGAGGACCUUAAACUAUUAUUAGUGGCACCCAUUUCAUUCCUGCAACUGCUACUUAUCCAUAUUUGCAUCUUGUUCUUUCUCUUCUUCUUCUUCUUCUUCUUAUUGCUGGGGACCACGACCAUUGAAAUCGAUCCUCUAUCGUUAUUAGUAAUUACUCCUUUCUCUUCUUCCAGGUCCCACACAACCCCUCUUCAAUGCCAUGCUUCUCUUCUGUUCCUCUUCCACACAACCUACCUGCUAACUUACUUCCCACACACAAUUACCAAUAACAGCGUCACCAUCCACCAUGGCCGCAACACUCUCCCUCUCCCUCUCUUUAGACCCCCAAACCCACCACCACCACCGAUUCUUCUUCCCCAAACACCACACGCGUCAUUUCGCAUAUUCACUCCCAAAUUUCCACAUUUACCCUUCACAAUCCUUCAAAAUCUCAUCUUCCACCCCUUCCCAUUCUCACUCCUCAACAACAUCACCACCACCACCGCCGCCAAUCUCCUCUCUGUACCUGGACGACCCCUUCCGCACAGGUCGCUUCCUCACCAACGACGAGCUCGACCGCCUCCGCUUCCUGGAAUCCUUCGUCUACUCGGAGGACCUCAAAUCCGGCUCCAUGUGGGUCCGUGUGAUGCGCCCCGACGAGACUGACACCACCGUCGCUCUCCUCGCCGAAUCCUUCGCCGAGUCAAUGAUGCUGCCGCCGGGGUACGCUGGGCUGCUCAGGUUCCUCAUCAAGAAGUACCUUCUGGAAAGGAGAACCCUCAUGCCUCACAUGGCCACACUCCUUGGAUUCUACAGAGAAAACGCUCCUAAUCAGGGAGAACAACAAGAACAACAAGUGAAAUUCGCGGGAACUGUGGAGGUUUGCUUUGACCAGAGGGGUGCCAAUACUUCCAUGCCUUCGCCACUUCCUCCGAGGAACUCGCCUUAUAUAUGUAACAUGGCGGUUCACAAGUCGCUUCGGAGGAGGGGCCUUGGGUGGCAUCUGCUGAAGGCAAGUGAGGAACUAAUUUCUCAGAUGAGUUCUUCAAGAGAGGUUUACUUGCACUGCAGAAUGAUUGACGAAGCUCCAUUUAGCAUGUAUGAAAAAGCAAAUUACAAAGUUGUAAAAACAGAUAGUAUUUUAGUCCUGCUGAUGUUGCAGAGACGAAAGCACCUGAUGUGCAAGAAACUUCCUCUGUCGAAUAUGCCUUCAGAAACAGAUCUCUCUGGUUCAGAUGAGUAAAAUAUUAGACAGAUGUAUACACAUGCUGCAAAAUACUGUUGAGAAACGAUAACAACAUAAUUUUGUGAAUUUAACUGGAGAUUGGAGAUUAAUGAGUGAUUCAGGCAUCCUUGUUUGUUUCUCUUAUCUGUAGGAAAGAGGUUGCUUGUGUCAAAGAUAAUCAUUAGGAGUUCCUGUACACAUUCCGCCAUUGAAGGUCUCUCAUUACUAUCAGUUCGGACGCAUCUUGAUGCCAGAUUGGCAAACAUGACUAUAGACUGAAUAGUGUAAGAAUUUCGGGCCAUCUCUGGAUCUAUGACCUUACGCAGCUUCUUUCGAUCAUUCAGAAUAUGCCUCACCUGCAUAUGAAUGUCUCAUUUACAAGGUUCUGAUCAUUGGGACCUUGGUUUAGAUCAACUGCUCGGCGUCCAGUCAAAAGUUCCAGAAGAACAACACCAAAAGCAUAAACAUCACUUUGCAGAGUUUCCAUUAUGCAUGUAUUCAUAUACUAGGAAUCUAUGUUUUCCAUCAGCACAGUAGCCUAUCAAAGAAACAAGAUUUGGGUGGUCGAGUCUGCUCAAGAUGUCCACUUCAACUCGGAACUCACGUUCUCCCUCGGCUUCUUUAAUUGCUGGCAGCGCCAUCUUCUUGAUUGCAACGACCUUUGAAGGAAGAUGUUGUAUUAGUAUGUAUAUAUUUGUAUCUAAAUUUCAAAUUUUGAGCUAUUUUGAAAUAAGCAUGUGUUUUCCUUCCUGGUAGAUACAACUGAUGUUAUAAAAUUUUGAGAAUCAUGAUGAAUUCUUGUGGAGAAUAAACUUAUAUCCAGAGCUUGUUACC